UGGGGAAUUUUGCGCAAUGGGCGAAAGCCUGACGCAGCGACGCCGCGUGUACGAUGAAGGCCUUUGGGUCGUAAAGUACUGUCAACGGGGACGAACGCCUCAGGUUGAAUAGGUCUGAGGUCUGACGGUACCCGUGGAGGAAGCACCGGCUAACUCUGUGCCAGCAGCCGCGGUAAUACAGAGGGUGCAAGCGUUAUCCGGAUUUACUGGGUUUAAAGGGUGCGUAGGCGGCUUUUUAAGUCAGUGGUGAAAGCCUAGACACUUAAUGUCAGAAGUGCCAUUGAUACUGAAGAGCUUGAGUCGAGGAGAGGUAAGCAGAAUUUGUGGUGUAGCAGUGAAAUGCUUAGAUACCAUGAGGAAUACCAACAGCGAAAGCAGCUUACUGGCCUUGUACUGACGCUGAGGCACGAAAGCGUGGGGAGCAAACAGGAUUAGAUACCCGCGUAGUCC
rnacentral:rRNA from 1 species